UACCAAUCACUCUCCUUUCGUAAGAGGGCGUUGAUAAAAAGGGGAGAGGCUGCCAAGACAUGUGCUUGAGCAGGAAGAGACUGCCCUGCCAACAGCCAGCCUUGGCUAUCACUCUCUCAAGAGGAAUAUGACAAACCUGAAGAUACCUGAGGAGGUAGCUACUGCUGUACAAGGGUAAAGAAGUGUGUGUUCCCAUGGAUGAUUCAAGCCUGUCCAGCAGUAUUGAUGUAGACAAAGGCUUUGCCAUCGCCUUUGUUGUUCUUCUGUUUCUGUUCCUAAUCGUGAUGAUUUUUCGGUGUGCCAAGUUGGUGAAGAACCCCUAUGAGGCCAGCUCCACAACAGCAGAACCGUCGCUGAGCUGAACUAUGAAAAAGCCUGACAGACUCCUCCUCAGGGGAGAUAUUAAAUCUUCUAUACAGGUGUUUAUGAUCUGGACUUCAUAUUGGUUCCCCUCUCUGUGUGUCAGCCUUCUCACUCUGGCAUUCCACAAUAGGCACAGGAGGACGAGAAGAUACAGAGAGACAGAGGAAAAGGCUCUGUGAAGACAGAGGCAGAGAUUGGAGUCAUGCAGCCACAAACUAAAGAACACUUGGCUGGAACCAACAGAAGCUAGAAGAGGCAAGGGAAGAUUCUCAUCAGAGCCUUUGGAGGGAGCACAGCCCUGCCAACACCUUGAUUUUUGGAUUGCUAGCCUCUAGAACUGUAAGAGAAUAAAUUCCUGUUGUUUUAAGCCAA